UUGAUCACUUACACUGCCAUGAACAUGUCUAACAGCAAAUUUAUAACCUGACUACAUCCUAGCUGAAAAAAUUACAGUGCUUGGAAGAGAAAGGCCCCUGAAGAAUGCUGCUUUGAACUUAACUGCUUUUCAGUGGCUAUGACACGCUUCCAUGCCUCUUUGCAAAAGAUGUCUCUUUUCCUUUUCUCCUCCAGUCUAAUGGGUGCUCUGUGCAGGAAAAGGAAAUGAGGCAAACCUUGAGAAGGACAGAGGCAAAAGAGUGGGUGGAAGCAGGACAAAGGGAAAUGGAGACAUCGUUCAAACAAUGCUCAGACUUGACAGUUAGAAGGUUUAAUGUGUGACAAAGGCUGUCUGCUCAUUCACAGCAGUGAGAGUGGAUUUGGUGGCCUCAGAAGGAAGAUGAUGAUGCUGGAGGAAGGAGUGAAGAAGAGGUUGGCUCUGCUGAGCUGCCUGCAGCACUGGCAAUCAUGAAAUCACAUUUCUCUGCACUCUUCAUCCUGUUGCUUGCAGAAGGAAUGCCAGGCUCUGGUUGAUAGACUGCUCUGCCAGGAUACUUGUGAAACAGACAGCCUGUGACAAGGAGAGGUUACUGCCCACGCUGAGGGAGCAGGAGACCAGAGCAUAUGCUUGUUCCUCUGCCAUUCUGUUCUUGGUCAAGGUUUUAGCUUUACCUGCCAGUAAACGUGGUGGGUUGUGAACUGUGGCAGCUGAGACAAAGACACGUGCCCCUUCUGCCGCCCCUUCCAAGGAAACGAAAAUCUCUAGUGGCUGAAGAGCUAAAAGGAAGUAACGUCUUAACCUAUGGCCAGCAAGAAUGGAGAGAGGGCAUCGGUCAGUGUCCUAAAGAGCAGCUUUUGAACAAGAGACCAGCAUCAGGUGGCCUCAUCAGUGGGGGAAAAAGAAAUGUUUUUAAAGAAAGCUUCAUCUUCUCAAAAUCUUUUUGCUGUCUACAUAAACGGAAGCCAGACCAAAGAUGCAAGUCUGUGAACUGGUUUGAGAUGGCAAUGGUGUUGUCAACUUUAAAAAAUGCUCUUGGCAGUAAUUACACUGUUCAUAUUUUUCAUACGUCAAGGAGAUAUUAGAGAUCUUGAGAGAUUUCCUUGAGGCUUUGCAAUAAAAUCCUAUACCAUAGAAAGGCUAGACCCA
rnacentral:lncRNA from 1 species